CUAGUAACGGCGAGUGAAGCGGCAACAGCUCAAAUUUGAAAUCUGGCCCUAGCGGUCCGAGUUGUAAUUUGCAGAGGAUGCUAUGGGCGCGGCGCCUUCCGAGUUCCCUGGAACGGGACGCCGUAGAGGGUGAGAGCCCCGUACGGUUGGAUGCUUAGCCUAUGUAUAGCUCCUUCGACGAGUCGAGUAGUUUGGGAAUGCUGCUCUAAGUGGGAGGUAAAUUUCUUCUAAAGCUAAAUAUUGGCCAGAGACCGAUAGCGCACAAGUAGAGUGAUCGAAAGAUGAAAAGCACUUUGAAAAGAGGGUUAAAUAGCACGUGAAAUUGUUGAAAGGGAAGCGUUUACGACCAGACUUUUUCCUGGCGGAUCAUCCGGCGUUUUCGCUGGUGCACUCCGCCUGGUUUAGGCCAGCAUCGGUUUUCUUAGGGGGAUAAAGGCCUGGGGAACGUAGCUCUUUAGGGAGUGUUAUAGCCCCGGGCGCAAUACCCUUCGGGGGACCGAGGACCGCG
rnacentral:rRNA from 1 species